rnacentral:rRNA from 1 species
GAUGAACGCUGGCGGCGUGCCUAAUACAUGCGAGUCGAGCGAACGGACGAGAAGCUUGCUUUUCUGAUGUUAGCGGCGGACGGGUGAGUAACACGUGGAUAACCUACCUAUAAGACUGGGAUAACUUCGGGAAACCGGAGCUAAUACCGGAUAAUAUUUUGAACCGCAUGGUUCAAAAGUGAAAGACGGUCUUGCUGUCACUUAUAGAUGGAUCCGCGCUGCAUUAGCUAGUUGGUAAGGUAACGGCUUACCAAGGGAACGAUGCAUAGCUGACCUGAGAGGGUGUUCGGCCAUACCUGAACUGACGCAGGGUCGUCACUACUCAGGUAGGCAGCAGUAGGGAAGCUUCCGGAAUGCACGAAAGCCUGACGGAGCAACGCCGCGUGGGUGAUGAAGGUCUUCGGGUCGUAAAACUCUGUUAUUAGGAAAGAACAUAUGUGUAAGUAACUGCGCACAUCUUGACGGUACCUAAUCAGAAAGCCACGGCUAACUACGUG